AAAAUCCGUCGACUUUAGAAAUCG
rnacentral:tRNA from 6 species